rnacentral:rRNA from 1 species
CAGCAGCCGCGGGAAUACGGAGGGUGCAAGCGUUAAUCGGAAUUACUGGGCGUAAAGCGCACGCAGGCGGUUUGUUAAGUCAGAUGUGAAAUCCCCGAGCUUAACUUGGGAACUGCAUUUGAAACUGGCAAGCUAGAGUCUUGUAGAGGGGGGUAGAAUUCCAGGUGUAGCGGUGAAAUGCGUAGAGAUCUGGAGGAAUACCGGUGGCGAAGGCGGCCCCCUGGACAAAGACUGACGCUCAGGUGCGAAAGCGUGGGGAGCAAACAGGAUUAGAUACCCCAGUAGUCCCUGUCUCUUAUAC